rfam:Canis lupus familiaris chromosome 25, whole genome shotgun sequence.
UUUUUAGUAUAAGUAUAUCCCAUGCAAUAUUCAGAACAUACUUAUACUAAAA